rnacentral:tRNA from 1 species
GGAUUGUGGCUCAGUGGUAGAGUGCUCACCUCAUACGUCUGAAGCCCUGGGUUUGAUCCUCAGCACCA